GACGAACGCUGGCGGCGUGCCUAAUACAUGCAAGUCGAACGCAGUGGGGACGGUUGCUUGACACGUGGGUAACCUCCCAUCAGAGGGGAUAACACUUGGAAACAGGUGCUAAACCGAUACUGAUGUAUGGACCCGAGGUGCAUUAGCUAGUUGGUGGGGUAGCGGCUCACCAAGGCCACGAUGCAUAGCUGACCGGAGAGGAUGAUCGGCCACACUGGAACUGAGACACGGCCCAGACGCCUACGGGAGGCAGCAGUAGGGAAUCUUCGGCAAUGGACGAAAGUCUGACGGAGCAAUGCCGCGUGGGUGAAGAAGGUUUUCGGAUCGUAAAACUCUGUUGUUAGGGAAGCGGUAUCUAACCAGAAAGCAACGGCUAACUACGUGCCAGCAGCCGCGGUAAUUC
rnacentral:rRNA from 1 species